UGGCCGGUGGCCAAGCGGCAAGGCAGCGGGCUUUGGACCCGCGAUCGUAGGUUCGAAUCCUACCCGGCCAACCA
rnacentral:tRNA from 1 species